UGAUUGGCCUGGGUCAUCACCCAGUCCAUGAAUUUCAGGCUCUGGCAGCCAUUUCAAUACUUAUAAUAAGCCCUGAGUAGCUUAUUCCAAGAUCAUGGCACAAUCCCUGUAGGACAGACAGAUGUGGUCAGCCAAUUCUUGUUCCAUGCUUCUUAACUGGGUUUGUGACAAUCCCAUUUAAGAUGUCUUGUAUUCCACUGCUAGCCACAAAAUGUCAUGAAAAUUACCUAACAGAAGCAUGAAAGAACACUAGAAAGUAACCACAACGCAUUUUUUACUUGACAUAUUGAGGUUUCUGCUGAAAAUUGCAAAUACCAGCGUUGCGUGGCAGAUGUUGGCUCGCAAGCAGCCCGUGGGAAUUACUAUAGUGUGUAUUCCGUUAUAUUUAGUAGGACUUUAUUUUGUGGGUAUUUACGCUCAAAUCAGCAUUUUUACGCAACAUAAAAAUGCCCUGUGUGACCUCGCCCCAAGUUCAGCUUUUAAACAAUUUUAUUUUCUGUGCCAGUGGAGUGGACUGCUGAGAUCGUACAGAAAAGAAAGUGGGAAGAUGACCAGAACGAUGUCAAAAGAAAAACUGCAGACUGAGCCCUAUCAAUACUUGAGCUAACGCCUUUUGAGUAAGGGGCCUCCAGACCCUAUUGUGACUCCUCUCCAUGCCUUCACACCUCCAGCCUACAUCUAGACUUAGGAAAAAGGUAGGAGGAGGCCUAAUUUGCAGACUGUGCAAAGUGUAAUUUAAAGUUAAAAAUUCAGUCUUUUUGGAUAUUUUCCCCCUUUUGUAAUAAAUUGGAUACCAUUUCAGCCUUGUUAUUUUCCCUUGAAUGAAGCAAAAGCAAACAGAAAUUAUGCCAGUAAAGAUUUAUUUGCAAGACUGAAGAUUUAUUUGCAAUGAAUCAUCAACAAAUGUAUAAACUGGCAGCAUGUUAUUCAUUACCCAUUCAUAUUUUAUAAAUAUUUAGAAAAAGUAUUGUCUUAUUAUUCCGUUGCAAUCUUACAUUGUCAGAUGUAUUUUUUCUUAAGGGAGAUCAUUAGUAAGCCUUAUUAGGAUACAGUGGCCCUCCCUGCCACACUAUUCAAUUAAUUUCAUCUUGCAGGUGGAUUGUUGCUUGAUCCUUAUCAAGAGUUGAUCCUCUCUGAAGUCUUAUAAGACGAUGACGGUAAACAAGUAAAUAUCCCGGAAGAACGAAGCCAGAAAAUGAGAAAAGCAGCAAACCAAAGUUCACCUAAAAGGGAAAUGUGUUAAAUAUUAGAAAUGUCUGCAGUCACAGUGUAAUGGGUGACCCCCCCCCCACACACACAGGUAAAAAUAAUAAAAAUGUUUAUGUAUAUGCUCCUCUUCUUUAACAAGGGUUGGUACCUAGCUAGUAUUUUAACAGGGCACUUCGUAAAAUAAUAAAGAUUUUAAAGCAAAAUAUAAAUAAAGAAUAUAAACUAAUA